GACGAACGCUGGCGGCGUGCUUAACACAUGCAAGUCGAGCGGUAAGGCCCUUCGGGGUACACGAGUGGCGAACGGGUGAGUAACACGUGGGUGAUCUGCCCUGCACUUCGGGAUAAGCCUGGGAAACUGGGUCUAAUACCGGAUAGGACCCUGGGAUGCAUGUCCUGGGGGGGAAAGCUUUUGCGGUGUGGGAUGGGCCCGCGGCCUAUCAGCUUGUUGGUGGGGUGAUGGCCUACCAAGGCGACGACGGGUAGCCGGCCUGAGAGGGUGACCGGCCACACUGGGACUGAGAUACGGCCCAGGCUCCUACGGGAGGCAGCAGUGGGGAAUAUUGCACAAUGGGCGCAAGCCUGAUGCAGCGACGCCGCGUGAGGGAUGACGGCCUUCGGGUUGUAAACCUCUUUCAGCACCGACGAAGCGCAAGUGACGGUAGGUGCAGAAGAAGGACCGGCCAACUACGUGCCAGCCGCCGCCGUAA
rnacentral:rRNA from 1 species